UAAUAUAAACCCGUAGAUCCGAACUUGUGAUAAAAUCUGACGCAAGCUUGUUUCUAGGGGUCCUAUAUUGG
rfam:Lottia gigantea unplaced genomic scaffold LOTGIsca_16, whole genome shotgun sequence.